rnacentral:rRNA from 1 species
AAGAGACAGCAGUAGCCGCGGGAAAACAGAGGGUGCGAGCGUUAAUCGGAUUUACUGGGCGUAAAGCGUGCGUAGGCGGCUUCUUAAGUCGGAUGUGAAAUCCCUGAGCUUAACUUAGGAAUUGCAUUCGAUACUGGGAAGCUAGAGUAUGGGAGAGGAUGGUAGAAUUCCAGGUGUAGCGGUGAAAUGCGUAGAGAUCUGGAGGAAUACCGAUGGCGAAGGCAGCCAUCUGGCCUAAUACUGACGCUGAGGUACGAAAGCAUGGGGAGCAAACAGGAUUAGAUACCCCGGUAGUCCCUGUCUCUUAUAC